GCAGGCCAUUACUUGCAGCUAAUGAGUUCCACAGAGAAUGAAACCAUUUGAAAUUGGUCCCUGAAGUACUGGCCUAGAAAACU
rnacentral:hammerhead_ribozyme from 2 species